rnacentral:rRNA from 1 species
CACGUAGGGUGCGAGCGUUGUCCGGAAUUAAUGGGCGUAAAGAGCUCGUAGGCGGUGUGUCGCGUCGGCCGUGAAAACCUGCAGCUUAACUGUGGGCGUGCGGUCGAUACGGGCAUCACUGGAGUUCGGCAGGGGAGACUGGAAUUCCUGGUGUAGCGGUGAAAUGCGCAGAUAUCAGGAGGAACACCGGUGGCGAAGGCGGGUCUCUGGGCCGAUACUGACGCUGAGGAGCGAAAGCGUGGGGAGCGAACAGG